rnacentral:tRNA from 1 species
UGCCUGGUGGCUCAGCGGGUUAAGGCUCCAGCAUUGUCAUUGCUGUGGCUCAGGUUCGAUCCCUGGCCAGGGAA